AUUGAACGCUGGCGGCAGGCCUAACACAUGCAAGUCGAGCGGAUGAAGGGAGCUUGCUCCUGGAUUCAGCGGCGGACGGGUGAGUAAUGCCUAGGAAUCUGCCUGGUAGGGGUGGAUAGCGUCCGGAAACGGGCGCUAAUACCGCAUACGUCCUGAGGGUGAAAGUGGGGGAUGUUCGGACCUCACGCUAUCAGAUGAGCCUAGGUCGGGUUAGCUAGCUGGUGGGGUAAAGGCCUACCAAGGCGACGAUCCGUAACUGGUCUGAGAGGAUGGUCAGUCACACUGGAACUGAGACACGGUCCAGACUCCUACGGGAGGCAGCAGUGGGGAAUAUUGGACAAUGGGCGAAAGCCUGAUCCAGCCAUGCCGCGUGUGUGAAGAAGGUCUUCGGAUUGUAAAGCACUUUAAGUUGGGAGGAAGGGCAGUAAGUUAAUACCUUGCUGUUUUGACGUUACCAACAGAAUAAGCACCGGCUAACUUCGUG
rnacentral:rRNA from 1 species